AAGCGCUGGCAACCAGACUCGAGCGCGGUGUUCCCCCUGGCUUCUGCUAGGGUUACUUCACCGUGUCCGGGCCAUCAUCGGUUCUGAGGGUCGGUCAAAGGCUCUGGGAAUGUAUCUACCUACGGGUAGACUUAUAGACCAGGGUGUCAUGCGGCCUCUCGGGACCGAGGAACGCGCUUCGGCUCGGAUGUUGGCGUAAUGGUUGUCAGCGA
rnacentral:rRNA from 1 species